UACGGGGGGAGCAAGCGUUGUUCGGAUUUACUGGGCGUAAAGGGCGCGUAGGCGGUCAGCACAAGUCAGUUGUGAAAUCUCCGAGCUUAACUCGGAAAGGUCAACUGAAACUGUGCGACUAGAGUGCAGAAGGGGCAACUGGGAUUCUUGGUGUAGCGGUGGAAUGCGCAGAUAUCAGGAGGAACACCGAUGGCGAAGGCAGGUCUCUGGGCCGCAACUGACGCUGAGGAGCGAAAGCAUGGGGAGCGAACAGG
rnacentral:rRNA from 1 species